rnacentral:lncRNA from 1 species
CUAUUGAUUGGAAUAUAGUGUAGCAAAAGAUGCUAUUUUUUAAUUUUAUUGCUUUCUUUUCAGUUUGAGUGGUGGUUCAUUUGUUGAAGACGAAUUUUCAAAUUGAAAAAAGAAAGAAUAUAUUAGAAAACAUGUUGGGGCUUCAAGUAGUGCACACAAUCAAGCUCGGGUUAAAUAUGAAUUGUUCUAGAAUCAAAAACAAAGUAUUCAAACCUGUCUCAUUAAGCAAUCGCUUCAAGCUCGAACAGAUUAUCGAAUUCAAUUGAAUGCGUCAAUUGAUUGUGUUAAAUUUAUUGUGUGACAAGGGUUGACAUUUCGUGGACAUGAUGAAUUUGAAGAUUCAAACAAUCAAGGAAACUUUCUUGAACUAUUGCAUUGGUUGUGUGAUCAUAAUGCUGAGAUUGAGGCCGUUCCUUUGACGAAUGCACCCAAGAAUUGCAAAUUAACAUCACCGAGAGUGUAAAAAGAUAUUGUAAGUGCUAUUGCUUUAGAAUGUCUACAUGUGAUUAUCAAAGAUGUUCAUGAUAGUUUCUUCUCAAUUUUAGUCGAUGAAUCUCAAGACAUUUCAGUGAAGGAGCAAAUGUUAGUUGUAAUUGGUUAUGUGAAGAAUGGGUGUGUAUUGGAACAUUUUAUUGGUGUCAUUCAUGUUUCGAGUACCACAGCUACCUCACUUAAAGCUGCAAUUGAUCAAUUAUUCUCAACGCACAGCUUAAGCAUAUCUAAUUCGAGAGCUCAGGGAUAUGAUGGAGCUAGUAACAUGCAAGGUGAGUAUAAUGGCCUCAAAGCACUUAUUUUGAAAGAAACCCCAAGUGAUUACUGCAUUCAUUGUUUUGCUCAUCAACUUCAACUAUUUCUUGUAGCUGUGGCACAGAAACAUCCAAAGAUUGAAACGUUCUUCACUACACUACACAAAUUUGUGAAUAUUGUUAGGGGAUCAGCUAAACAGAGUGAUCUUAUUCCAGAGAACCAAAGAUUGAAAAUUCUUGAAUCACUCAGUGCUGGUGAAAUAUCAAGUGGACGGGGUCUCAAUCAAGAAAUUACACUUUAGCGUCCUGGUGAUACACGUUGGGGCUCUCACUAUAGUUGUUUGAUUAACUUAAUUAUCAUGUUUCCAACCAUAGUCAACGUCAUUGAGAUGAUUGCUACUGACACUACAAGUACCAGAACAAGCGGCGAUGCAUAUAUUUCAUUGGAGAUGAUGUUAAGAUUUGAAUUUGCAUUUAAUCUACAUCUCAUGAAAAAGAUUUUAGGGAUUUCAAAUGAAUUGUCUAAAGCUUUACAAAGAAAAGAUCGGAAUAUUGUCAAUGCUAUGAGAUUGGUGCAAAUAUGUAAAUCUUAACUCCAAACCAUGAGGGA